UUUCCCCUGCUGUGUUCGUGAUCGGGAGAGGCAACUUAGAACCAACAAAGAAAGAACGGACGCUGUCCCUUGCCGCGGCCGUCAAGCCCCGAUUUAGGGGAAGACUUAAACGGCAAUAUGGCCUCCACCUAGUUUCCAGGUUCAAGUUGAUCGCUUGACACGGCAUGAUGCGGGGGGAAA
rnacentral:other from 1 species